UGGGGUGGGUCUUUCAAGCUCAUUCUCUUCAGGGAUCUUCAGCACACCAAUUCUGUAGUCACAAUCAACUACAAUCGUGAGUAGGCUGACUUGAGAUGGCCACAUCUUCAAGAGUGAUGUUGUUGGUCCUGAAGAAGAGUCCGGUACUCUGAUGCCUCUGGGGCUGAGAGCUCAGGGUGUGGGCACUACCGAGUUCCUCAGCAGCAUCUGCUGUCUCUUCUGCUCAUGGAACAGCUAUUUUCUUACUUUGACUGUGUGAUUGCAUGAGGCAAGCUGCUCCACGGAACCACCCAGAAGACAUGCUCUGGAAUCAGGUUGACGAUCUCCAAAUGUUAGUUUACAUUCUCAGGUUCAUCCAAACGUUAUCUACCCAAGGGGUCUUGAGAAGAACGAGGAGACAGUGGACAGAGCCUUCUUAUACUCUGACCUGGCCAAGAGAGAGGAUCCUGGUGGGCAGAUUUCUCAUCUAUGAGGCCAAUCUGAUCGUCAAACUGAUGUAAGUCCUGCCAUCUUGAAUUUUCAUUUUUCUUAUUGUUGUGAUGGAAUGCUUCACAAAGGCAGCUUAAUGAAGGAUGGAUUUAAUUUCAUAUUAUUGGGUGGUGGGGAAGGCAUGGCGGCGGGCAUAUGAGGAAGCUGGUCACAUUACAUCUUCAGUUAGGAGGCAGGGAGAGAUGAAUGGUGGGACCCUGCUUACCCUCUCCCUUUUAUUCACGUUGUGA
rnacentral:sRNA from 1 species